rnacentral:rRNA from 1 species
GAUGAACGCUAGCUACAGGCUUAACACAUGCAAGUCGAGGGGCAGCAUGAAGGAAGCUUGCUUCCUUUGAUGGCGACCGGCGCACGGGUGAGUAACGCGUAUCCAACCUUCCCCUUAGUAGGGCAUAGCCCGUAUAAAUGCGGAUUAAUACCCUAUGUUCUUCGUUGAGGACAUCUGAUAUGGAGCAAAGCUUUUGCGCUAAGGGAUGGGGAUGCGUCCGAUUAGGUAGUAGGCGGGGUAACGGCCCACCUAGCCGUCGAUCGGUAGGGGUUCUGAUAGGAAGGUCCCCCACACUGGAACUGAGACACGGUCCAUACUCCUACGGGAGGCAGCAGUGAGGAAUAUUGGUCAAUGGGCGGAGGCCUGAACCCAGCCAAGUAGCGUGGAGGACGACGGCCCUACGGGUUGUAAACUCCUUUUAUGCGGGGAUAAAGUGCGGGACGUGUCCCGUUUUGCAGGUACCGCAUGAAUAAGGACCGGCUAAUUCCGUGCCAGCAGCCGCGGUAAUACGGAAGGUCCGGGCGUUAUCCGGAUUUAUUGGGUUUAAAGGGAGCGCAGACGGCCUGUUAAGCGUGCAGUGAAAUGUGGGUGCUCAACAUCUGCACUGCUGCGUGAACUGGCGGGCUUGAGUUGUCUGGAGGUGCGCGGAAUUCGUGGUGUAGCGGUGAAAUGCUUAGAUAUCACGAGGAACCCCGAUUGCGAAGGCAGCGCACCGUUGGCACACUGACGUUGAGGCUCGAAGGUGCGGGUAUCGAACA